UACAGCUGUUUUAGUUGGUUU
rnacentral:piRNA from 1 species